rnacentral:misc_RNA from 1 species
UUUGUCAAGGGUAUUGAGAUGAUGAUUUUGCUUGUUGUGUACCAGAUCUUUGGUCAGCCUUAUAGAAGUGCUGUUGCUUAUGUUUUGAUUACCAUAUCUAUGUGGUUUAUGGUUGGUACCUGGCUUUUUGCUCCCUUCCUGUUUAAUCCUUCCGGUUUUGAGUGGCAAAAGAUUGUUGAUGAUUGGACUGAUUGGAAUAAAUGGAUUAGUAACAAAGGGGGUAUAGGUGUACCUCCAGAAAAGAGUUGGGAAUCAUGGUGGGAAGAGGGAGGAACAGGAGCAUCUUCGUCAUUCUGGAAAACGUGGAAUUGUGGCUGAGAUAUUGUUAUCUUUACGAUUCUUUAUCUAUCAGUAUGGGCUGGUAUAUCACUUAAAGAUUACGAAAAACACCAAAAGUUUUCUGGUCUACGGAAUAUCAUGGCUGGUCAUCUUUCUGGUAUUGUUCGUAAUGAAGACGGUAUCUGUUGGGAGGCGAAAGUUCAGUGCAAACUUCCAGCUUGUGUUCCGGCUGAUCAAGGGAAUGAUAUUCCUUACUUUUGUCUCCAUUCUGGUCACUUUGAUUGCAUUGCCUCACAUGACAAUUCAAGAUAUCAUUGUAUGCAUUCUUGCUUUCAUGCCAACUGGCUGGGGUAUGCUUUUGAUUGCACAAGCUUGUAAACCUCUUGUUCAUCGUGCUGGUUUUUGGGGAUCAGUACGGACGCUCGCACGUGGUUAUGAGAUUGUCAUGGGCUUGCUUCUAUUCACUCCAGUUGCAUUCCUCGCCUGGUUUCCUUUUGUUUCUGAAUUCCAAACUCGUAUGCUAUUCAACCAAGCAUUUAGUAGAGGUCUGCAAAUUUCACGUAUUCUUGGUGGUCCAAGGAAGGAUCCGUCUUCUCGAAACAAGGAGUAACCUGGUCACUGCAACCACAGUAUAUAGUCUAUAUCUAUGUGUGUAUGUUGAGCCAUUUAUCAUUCCUGAUUCUGUCUGAAGGAUUCUUGUCC